rnacentral:piRNA from 1 species
UGGAGUUGUAUAUUGAGUAUGUAGAACUCA